AAGAAAGAAAGAAAGAAACACCCUUUCAUCAUAACACGUGUUGUUCACGCUGAGAGAUGCUGUGUGCUUUGUAUGUUUGUUUAAAGAAGUUAUCUUCUGGGAAGUGCUAUGGUUUGAAUGUUACCCUUCCAAAAUUCAUCUUGAAACAUAAUUCAGAUUAUGGUUGUAUUAAGACUCAGGGUUUUUGGAUGUGAGAUGUGAUAAAGUCAUGAGGGCUUCCCCAUCAAGAUAUAGAUUCAUGCCUUAUAAAAGGGGUGGAAGGUACUAGCUUAGGCCCUUUUGCCUCCUAUCCAUUCCGUUAUGUGAGGACACAGUGUUUGUCCACUCUGGAGGAUGCAGCAACAAGGCGCCAUUGUGGAAGUGGAGACUGGACCUUCAGCAGACACUGAAUAUGUUGGCACCUUGAUCUCGAACUUCCCAGCCUCCAGGACUAUGAGAGGGUUGUUAGCGAUGGAUAUUUGACCUGGGAAGACAUCACAAGCAACCACAGUCCUGAUUCCAGUGCCAAAUCUGAGCAGGCCCAGCACUCCACACAGAACGUCCCUGAUUCAAACUGGUGCCCAACAGGCCUUUCCUCAGUAGCAUGGCCAGGUUAGGGCACCAAAGGGUUAAACUGUGACAAUGUGGCAGACUCCAAACUCCACGUAGGCAGGGAGCCUGUCUGCUGCUCUCAACUUUGGACUCAGCAUCGAACAUAGUCCCUGGUGCUUAGAAGAUGCUCAACAAAUACUUCACAAUUGAAUGAACACAUGGCUAUGCUGUCAUAGAAUUUGAAAGGUAAUGGACAAUGUGAUAAAUGAAUAUGGCAUUAGGAUUUAGCAUGGGCUGGAAGCAGAGGCUCAAACCUAUAAUCCCAGCACUUUGGGAGGCUGAGGCGGGCAGAUCACUUGAGCCCAGGAGUUCGAGACCAGCUUGGGCAAUAUGGUGAAACCCAGUCUCUACAAAAAAUACACAAAAAUUAGCUGGGCGUGGUGGUGCUACCUGGGAGGCUGAGGUGAGAGGCUUGCUUGAGCCUUGGAGGUCCAGGCUGCAGUGAAACAUGAUUGUGCAACUGCACUCUAGCCUGGGCAACAGAGUGAAAGCCAGUCUCAAAAAAAAAAAAAAAAAAAAAAAAAAGAUUCAGCAUGAAUAAGACCUAUAUUGCCAUGCUCCCAGAGCUGUUAUGAAGAACCCAUUCCACAUUGGGAGUGAGAGCAUUACGGGUGCUCACAGUCUGUUCUGGGUUACUCUUGUCCUUCUGUGCUCCUCUUCACGCCCUCCAGCUCAUUCCCCACGUGCAGAUGAAGAAAAAGCAACAAAGAGCAUCUAGUACAUUGAAUGCCUGGUAAAAAGGCAUCCUCUUCCUCAUCAACAUGUAUGGAGCAUUCAUGGGUACAGGCUUCAGGCCCACAGAAAUGAAAGGCAAAUAGCUUGAGUCGGAAUCAAUGAUUAGUUCUUCCCCGGCUCUGUGACUGCGUAGAUGUAUGGUCUUACAUGGAGAAGUUUGUAUCUUAGAGUCUCUAUAGAUGCCCCACCCAUUUCAUACAUCUAUUAGGAAUACGAAAGGUGCAGAGUUCUUGCAGGGAAAAUGUCUUGCCAAUAUGUACUUGAGAAGACCAUCCUUUUCAGUUGAACAACAAGAACCAAAAUGUUAAUCAAAUAUGUCCAGUGACUUUACAAUUUGCAGAGCAACUGAGAAAUAUAGAAAUUGGGCUGGGCAUGGUGGCUCACGCCUGUAAUCCCAGCACUUUGGGAGGCCGAAGCGGGCAGAUCACGAGGUCAAGAGAUUGAGACCAUCCUGGCCAACAUGGUGAAAUCCCAUCUCUACUAAAAAUACAAAAAUUAGCUGGGUGUGGUGGCACGUGCCUGUAGUCCCAGCUACUUGGGAGGCUGAGGAAGGAGGAUCACUUGAACCCGGGAGGCAGAGGUUGCAGUGAGCCAAGAUCGUGCCACUGCACUCCAGCUUGGGCGACAGAGUGAGACUCUGUCUCAAAAUAAAAAUAAAAAUAAAAAUAAAAGAAAUAUGAAAAUCGUUAGUAAUGGGAAUGAUGUGAGGAACUCAGUAUUUUUAAGCUGUUAGAUGGUAGGGGGCGAGAGAUAAAACCUUCACGGCAUAUGCUUACCUUGUAGAUCAUUAAUAAAUACAGGCAACACUAUGGCUCUGACUUUACACAGCAACAGUUCAUCUACAUUGCCACAAGGAAGUAGCCAGGGAUAUUACUAAUUUUAAAUACCAGCCCGUCAGCAAGAAUGAAGCUGAAAUUCAGGGCUGUUCCAAGAAAGGGCAGAAACAUGCCAGGAGCGCUGAGUAAACUUUCAGUCUGAAUCCAUGUGAAUUACUGGGGAGUCCUGGAUUUCGAAAUUCUUUUGCGGUUCACACCACCCACGUGUCAGUAAACAGGCUAAGGCUAAGGCUACUCCUGUUCUAUAUUGCCACCUAGUGGAUAAUGAUACCCGCGUUCCUUCGUGCAUUUGCUUCAGAGAGACUUGCCCUAGUUAGCAAACCAGCUGAUGAAUAUUAUUUGAGACACAAAUGAACUAACCUUUGAGUUUGUUUCCUUUGGACUUUGAGAUGUCUGUUUACUGAAGCGAAUGUGGCAUUUCAUCAUCUUCGAUCAGCCUGUAGGAAAAAAUAAGCAGCAUUUAUAAAUGGCAUCUCUUCAAGAAUUAAAAAUGCAUAAAGGUGGUAAUAUUUCCACUGAGUAGCCGUCAGUAAUUAAGUUUUUAAAUUUCUCUUUUUCUCCUUCUCUGUCUUUCCUAUUUACUUUUGAACCUUUAAUUACUAUACUGUGUCAUUUCAGGCAAAACAAUGCUAGACCCAGGCUUCAGGUUCCAUUGUUGUAGAAACAACGUAUUAGUGGAUCCUGAUAUCAAUAUGAGCAGCAUCA
rnacentral:lncRNA from 1 species